rnacentral:lncRNA from 1 species
CACCAAAGAAAGUGGCUCAUUCAGAAAUGUAAACCCCAGUUGUGUCUCUCUGCUUGGUGAUAAAGGAGAAGGGAAGCCCUUUUACAUGGGAACGAUCCCACGACACGCGCUGUUUCUGGUGCAGCCAGCUGGUUUCGAAAUGCAGUUUUGCAGGUGUAUUGUUACGACAGGGUAAACGUGCUGUACCAGUGGGUUCUCCCUAAACACCAUAUCGAAUGCUUUUUCUGUGAUUCAGUCCCUCUCAUUGACAAUUCGGACGGAACAGACGGCGUAAUCCUUCGCAGCCCCCUUCAGGUACAUGGAGUUCCACCACGGUCCACUGAACACAGACAGUCUGCCAGGCGGCAAAAUGCAUCUCACUCUAAAACGAAGAGGC